AACAGCGAURCGAUGUGAUGUAUGCUCACUCUCUCCCUUGUGAUCUUCUUUAGUGUCACAACAGAGACAGCAAGGAGAAGUUUCUUUACCUAAUGGCUCUAGAAUCGUUUUGGGGUUAUUUCAAAAGAAAUUCUCCAGAAGAAAGAUGUCUGUGUGAAUCUUUGGCCAUACUACCAAAAAUCCGCAUUAUUUUUAAAGUCAGAUUUCUGUGAAGACACAGACAGGCCAAAAAUAUGAAAUGGACCAGAGAAGAAAUCAAAGCACCAGCCAACACACUGUGUUUUGUUGGCCAACGUUAAAUAGCCUACAGGAGGGGCAUAACCAUUUCCUCAUUGACACAUGGGAUCAAAAUGGAAGUCAAACAACGUAUGGCCUAAUCAAUACUGGGAGAAGCCUCUUUGGAACCCAGAGAAAUUAUGAAAUGAUGUGAC
rnacentral:lncRNA from 1 species